CCCCCACCAAAUAUACAGUGCUGUAUGUCAGUUGUAUCUUAAUAAACUGGAAGGAAAAAACAUUUAAGGGGGUAUAGCUCAGCGGUAGAGUGUGUGCCUAACAUGCACAAGGUCCUGGGUUCAAUCCCUAGCACUGCCAUUAAAAAUAAAUAAACCUAAUUACCUCUCCUAACCCCCCCACAAAAUAAAAGAUCACACAGAUAGUAGUAGUGAUGGUGCUCAGAUUUCAGCCAAGUCCCUUUGACUCCAGAACCUACACUCUUAACUGUGCCCUAAACUCUCCCCCAGGUCCUGUGGGAACAAAGACGGGAGUGACAGCACAUGCAAAGGCAUGAAGAAGUCACUGCAUCAGUGUGGCUGAAGCACAAGGUGCCACAGCAGGAGAGAAUGGCAGAGAUGAGCAGACCGCUGGGCAGGGCUGCUUCCUACUGCUGGGCCAGAAUCACACCCAUCAAAGUCACCAGAGGUUUUUACCGCACUGAGGGAGCCUGUGAGUGUGGGACCACAGCCUUGAGGCAUAAGGCUCAGGCCCCUUGUGGACAAGGACCAAUGGCUGUAUCCUCAGUGCUUGGCAUAAAGGAGGAACUCGGUAAAUAUUUAUGGUUGAAUGAGUGACUGAAAGUAGAUGAGUGCUAUUCAUUCAUUCAUUCAUUCUUCAUUCAAAUACCACAACAGAGCUGAACUUGGGGAGCUACAGAGUCAGAGAAGACCUCUUGGAGGAGGUGAUGCUGAAGCUGGGUCUCCAGGGACAAGUGGGAGCUAGGGAGGUCAGGGAAGAAGGGCACUGCAGGCAGAGGCAGCUGGGCAAAGGCAGAGAGUCAUGAAAUAGCUUGAAAGGCAAUUUGAACCCAGAUGUCCUAAAAGCCUUUGCGGUCAGCACAUGUGGGCAGAGUGCACUGUCAGCAUCAGACUCCUUGAACUUCCUCUCCUAACACUCCUACUGUGGGCAGGGGUCAUGUGUCUGUCCCUGAGUGCACCUGGCACCAGAACCCAGAUGUCAGCUGACUUUGCCAUAGACUUCCUAUGUGACCCAGGGGGCAAGUCAUUUCCCCUCCCUGCUCCCCCUUCUGCUAAGUGAGGCAAAUCAUGGCCCCUACUUCACAGGGAAGUUCUGGAGUAACAGUGUUACAUAGCAGGUAACAUUAUGCACAUUUGCGUUAGACAGAUCUGAGUUUUAGUUCCAAGUGAUUCUUACUAGCUGUGUGGCCUUGGCCAAGUUUUAUUCAUUAAUUAAUGCAUUCACUCAGUAUUUCAAUAAGUGCUGGCCAUCUUUUGUAUACUGGACAUUUAUAGAGCAGCGGGGAAAAAAGACACAAUUCCUGUUCUUGGGGAGCUCACAUUGUAAUGGGGAAGACAGAAAAUAAAUUUAUAUAUGCUAUGAUAGGGAGGAGUUAAGUGCUAUAAGUAACCGGUGGUAGGGUGCUAUAUUAAAAUAGGGGGGUCUGAGGAGGUGGCAUUUGAACAUAAACCCAGCGGAAGAGAGUGAGUAAACAGUGUGGUUGACUGUGAUAUCCAGGGAGGACAGUUCCAGGCAGGAAGAACAGCAAGAGCAAAGGCCCUGAGGUGGGAGCAGGCAAGGGGUGCUCCAAGAAGAGCUGGGAGGCCACAAGGAGGGAGAAGAAUGAAUGAGGAGCAAGUGGUAGGCAUUAAGAACAGAGAGGAGGAUGAUCCAGAUCACAUGUGGCUUCAGAGGCCACCAUGCGGACCUCAGGUUUUAUUCCAAAUGUGUUGAAAAGUCAGUGAUUUGGGGGCAGGUGAAUGACAUGUUCUGAAUUUUCUUUUGCUUACCUUUUUUUGAAAAAAAAAAAAAACUUUCUUAAGAUAUAACUGAUACAAUAAAUUGCAGAUAUUAAAAAUGUACAAUAUGAGUUUUGACAUAAGUGUAUACCCAUGAAGCCACCAAAAUCAACAUAAUGAACCUCUAUUAUUCCCAGAAGUUUCCCCAUGUCCUUCUUUAAUUCUUCUCUCCUGACUCCCACUCCCAAACAGCCCCCAUUUGCCACUAGAGAUUAGUUUGUAUUUUCUAGAAUUUUAUAUAAAUGAAAUCAUACAGUAUGCAGUCUUUGACUUC